UCUAGAACUCAAGAUAUGAGCUGAAAACUUAACAGUGUCUGAGCUGCAGGACAGAUUCCGACUUCUUCGUUGAUGCUAAGAUUUGAACUUGAAAACGGCAGAAUUGAGUCUUGGACUCCUCAUGAAAGUUUUAGGUCUAUGUCUUAGCUUUCCAUA
rfam:Populus trichocarpa scaffold_18_contig_142, whole genome shotgun sequence.